UGAAUAAAUUCAAAAUUGAUUGCGGAGUAAAUCCACCAUGAUGAGCUACGCCAAGCUUAGCUAUUUCAUCAGGAUGCAAAUUACCAUGAAAAGUAUCACCCCCCUUUAUUAAAUCUGCGACAAAUAAUCGACCAUUAGGUUUUAAAAGUUUAGAAAGCUUAUUAGUCACUUCCUGUAGGUCCUUGAUAUGAUGAUAUGCCAUGGAGCAUACAACAGCAUCAAAUUCAGUAGAAAAUGGUUCAUCGCCGUUGCCAUCCAAAUCAUCCAAACUUAAAACAUAUGCACAGGCUCUUUCUUUGGGAAUGUUCAUCUUUCUAAAUUUUUCAUUAUAAACGUCCACCAUGUCUUGGGAAACGUCUAUGCCAACAAUUUG